rnacentral:tRNA from 2 species
GGGGCUGUAGCUCAGUUGGUAGAGCAUCUGCUUUGCAAGCAGGGGGUCAGGAGUUCGAGCCUCCUCAGCUCCACCA